UCAAAUGACAUUGUCAAAAUAUAAUAUUUUUAACAAAAUCAUCAAUAGAUCAUUAAGAAAUAGAUAUGAGUAGGUGAGCGGCUAGUAUCGGCGCUGUCAGAAAUUUUAGUAGCCCCAGGGAUACUCAAAAAUUUUUCAAACUUUGCUAUCAAUUGGCACACAGCCCUAAUGAGCAAUUAAAAAAAUAUUUAUUGAAAGUUUCAAAAAUUUUCUUUAGCCAGAUGUGCAGUUUCUUUUGAUUAAUUUGUUUUUCUAUUACUUUCUUGGAAAGCGAUAUUAUCAUAUUCGUACGAUUGAGUCAAAAUUUUCUUCCGGUGGAUGAACGCCGGCUAAGUCUACGAUGUAGGGCAAGGGCAGCGAUGAAUAAGAGUUGGUACUACUUACAUGGAGCUGUCAGGAGGGGGAACGAUCGUCAAUUGUGUCACGGUUGGAUAAUAGUGACCGGAAUGAGUUGCGGGGUAGUGGGGAAAUCACUGUGGUUGGCAUAUGGAGUAAUUAUUGCUAUCCGGACGUUGGUGGCCUGAGGCAGAAAGGGAGUUUGUUUUACAACUAAGCCUGGUGAAUUGUUUGAUGAUGAUGAUUGUUUUUUGAAGCUGAGAAGAAGAAGAAUUAACAUUAUUCAGGUUGGCUGGAGGUGCACUGGUCGAAGCGGCGUUUAAGGGUUCGUUUUGAAGACUGUGAGAUGGAGUUUUUGCUUUUGGCGAAUGGGCUAUUGGCUUCGGCCUCUUUCCUUCGUCUGGUUGUCGGACUUAAAAACAACAAAGAAGUAACGUUUUUGACAAUUUUCACAAACAAAGGCUUCAAUAAAUCAUGAAUAAUCCAUAACCGGCAGAUUGCACAAUUAA
rnacentral:sRNA from 1 species